UACAUGUGGGGCAAGCGUUGUUCGGAAUUACUGGGCAUAAAGGGUGCGUAGGUGGUUUGUUAAGUCAGGGGUGAAAUCCGGUGGCCCAACCAUCGAACUGCCUUUGAUACUGGCGAACUUGAGUGCGUGAGGGGUGAUCGGAACGAGUAGUGUAGCGGUGAAAUGCGUAGAUAUUACUCGGAAGGCCAACGGCGAAGGCAGAUCACUGGUACGUAACUGACACUGAGGCACGAAAGCGUGGGGAGCAAACAGG
rnacentral:rRNA from 1 species